rnacentral:rRNA from 1 species
GGAUUAGAAACCCCGGUAGUCCACGCCGUAAACGAUGGGCACUAGGUGUGGGGGGUGUCGACUCCCCCCGUGCCGCAGCUAACGCAUUAAGUGCCCCGCCUGGGGAGUACGGCCGCAAGGCUAAAACUCAAAGGAAUUGACGGGGGCCCGCACAAGCAGCGGAGCAUGUGGCUUAAUUCGACGCAACGCGAAGAACCUUACCAAGGCUUGACAUGCAGGGAAAUCCUCCAGAGAUGGGGGGUCCGCAAGGGUCCUGCACAGGUGGUGCAUGGUUGUCGUCAGCUCGUGUCGUGAGAUGUUGGGUUAAGUCCCG